rnacentral:lncRNA from 1 species
UUGACAAGGGCGCUCUUCACCUCCCGGGCCUCUGACCAGCCCACAUGGAGGCAGAAGGCAGGGCUCCUGUCCCAGCAGGCAGUUCUGAGCCAGGAACCAGGUACUGCCUUUACCUGAUGAUGUUGGCUGCAGCCUUCCGCUCCUGGGUCAGGAGCUCCGGGUCGUGCAUGACUUCUUCCAGGAAGCCGAUCACCUUGCAUUUGAGCUCAUCGUUGGUCUCAAAGUCCUGCCGGGAAGGUGUGAUGGGUGGCUCUGGUUACUGUUUUUGAGCUGCUCUGCAGUGGUCUGGGCCCAGGCCAGAGGAAGGAGCUCCAGUUUCUAUUCUGCCCAGGGCAGGCUGACCUGCCUCAUUUCCUUUCUGUUGGCUUCCUGGCAGGGCAUGAGAGGCUCUCCAGGCCUAGAGAAUCUUAGAUAAAGGCACUGGAACCAGAUCAAAGCCCAUCUUUCAGCUGGCUGCACCCCUGGGCCAGGGAGGCACAAACCUACCUGUACCCCUGCUACAGGCAGGGUGGAUAGACAGAGACCCAUUGUCCCUUCCAUGUCCUUUGUUCCCUCCUAGGGAAUCUGAGCAGUCCUCCGGGAACAUCAGGGUGGCACAUUUGAGCUCCCUCCCUUCUGCUGCCCCACUGCCAGCCAUCAGCUCACUCUGCCCGCAGCUGCUUUUGGAAGGCAGCUGGUUCCUGGGGCCAUUGCCUGGUGGUCCCCAGCAGCCUGCCCAGGGAGGGCUCCCACCCACCUGAGAGUGCUUGGACACCCAGUGGCGGAGCACGUUCAAGACACGAUUGGUGGCUGCUCUGCGGAUCACAAACUCCUUGUCUCCAUUCCUCUGGUCUGGGGGAAACCCUGGCAGCAUGCGUGGCAGAGGGGAGAGAGGACAGGAAGCACUGUCCUUUGGUGACGGUGGGACCCUGUGCUUCCAGGAGCGGGGCUAAGAGGUGAGAGCACCCUCCACACCCCAGGAUCCUGGCAGGUGGAGAUGGAAGCAGCUGAGACUGAGCAGUAGCACCAGGCAGGGAGAGUGCCCCCACCUUGAGUCUACCUGCUCUUGAGGCCACAUGUUGGGGCAGGGCCUCAGCCCCAGGAGCCUGGCAGGUGGAAGGAGACUUUUCAGUUUUGGGUUGCUGGUGGCUGACCUGAGACGCUGACCGCUACAUCCAUCCACAGAGCUGCUGCGGGAAGGCCUGGAUGCAUCAUGUUAGGGGCUGGUGGGAGUACUCGGGACACGUGGGGCGUAUACCUUUGUCUUGCAAACCCAAAAUCAGGAUGCUCUUGACUCAGUCUGAGAGCAGGGAACUGUGCCAGAAACUCAGCACGUUUUGGGAGACAUAUGGAAGGAAUACCCCCCACUUCCCACCUAUCACCCCUGCACCUUUCUCCAGCUAGGCUAUCCGCUCCCCAUUCUCCCCAUAAGAGUGGCUGGCAGUGGGGAGCCUGCCACUCCCCUGGGUUUGGCCCUAUCACCUACAGAAUAAAGCCCCACUCCUUGCCGGUCGCGUUACCGUGAUCUGACCCUUGCCCACCGCCAGCCCCAUCUUUCACUAUGUCAUGUGGAUCGCUGUAUUAUUUAAGAAAGUCAAAUUGGGCCAUAAAAAUAAGAGAAUUAAAUAAGGAAGACAGAUGAAGCUAAGUACAGAAGAUUUAUACUAGACACAGUAUACCAAGGAGAGCACCUACAUGCUGAACAUAGGAAGGGACAGAGGGACCAAUGGCACUAAAUAGCCAAAUAUUGAUGCUAUGCUUAAUAUUCAUGAGGCAUAUGGAACAUUCAAUAUUUAUUAGGUCUUAAGUCAGCCACCCAUUGGCAAUGGCUAUUCUGACCCUCUGUGUCCCCUGCCCAAGAAAUGCAGAGAAAGGUGUAGCUGUUCUCCAGGUGAACUGACGGCUACAGCUGUGGCCAGGCACUCGUCCCUAUACCAGAGAGAGGGCAAUUCUGUGCCAUUGGCCCAAGUGCUUUCCAUUGCAUGGGCUCCUUGGUUCAAACUUCACUCCAUCAGCAGUGAAGGCUGAUGUGGCAGGGAGAGAGGUGGCACAAAGAAACACUGUGUCAGCAGGAUGCAGGCAGUGUGGUCCUCCCAUCUGCACACACACUAGCCUAACCAGCUAUCUCAUCGCCUUUCCCUGGUGUCUUGCUAUGUGUUUGUAAUUGAUACACUAUUAGCCAGGUGUGGUGGUGCACGCCUGUAGUCCCAGCUACUUGGGAGGCUGAGGUGGGAGGAACACUUGAGCCCAGGAAGUAGAGGCUGCAGUGAGCCGAGAUCACACGACUGCACUCCAGCCUGGGUGACAGAGCGAGACCCUGUCUCAAAGAAAAAAAAAAAAAAUUGAUACAUUAGAUGCCGUAAUGAAGCAUCUUAACUUAGCCUAUGAAUCUGUUCCAAAGCCUCUAGAAUAGUUUGUCUGGUAGUGUACCUGGAGGCCACAAUUGCAUCAAGGUCAUUGCCUGCAUGACAUCACUCUCCUCGACCCUGCACUCUCCCCAAACACCGUGCACUUUUUUGCCUCCGAACCUAUGUUCAUGCUGUUCCCUCUUCCCAGAAUGCCCUUCCCCCUCAGUCGUCUAGCAAACUCCAACUGGUCCUUCGAGGCCAGCUCUAAUGUCCCAUUCCAUAAGAAACCAUCCUCAACUGUGCCAGGUAGAUCUAUCACUCAUCUUCUGGACCUCGCCUGGAUUACACAGAUUCCAUUUUACAGCAUGCACUACACUGCUUUCUAAUAAUCUCUCUAUGUCUCUCUCUCUCUCACUAAACGAUGAAUUUCCCGAGGACGGAGACCCCACCUGCUCAUUUCUGCUUCCCUGGUCCCCUCCCUGGUCCUCCUGUGAAGAAAACCAGGCUUUAGAUUGGUAAGCAGAUGGGUCCUUGAAGUUGUAAGUUUAAUCUGGACAUUCCAUUCACUUUAUCACCAUCAUUAUUCAAAAUUUUGUUAUUUUUUUCUUUCAUAGGUGAUUUUAAUUUUAUUUUUGUUUCAUCCGCACUCUCUCUUUUUUUUGAGACAGAGUUUCACUCUGUCACCCAGGCUGGAGUGCAGUGGUGAGGUCUCGGCUCACUGCAACCUCUGCCUCCUAGGCUCAAGUGAUGCUCUCGCCUCAGCCUUCUGAGUAGCUGGGAUUACAGGCGCAUGCCACCAGGCCUGGCUAAUUUUUGUAUUUUUAGUAGAGACGAGGUUUCACCAUGUUGGUCAGGCUGGUCUUGGACUCCUGACCUUAAGUGAUCCACCCACCUCGGCCUCCCAAAGUUCAUCUGCUCCUUUUGCUGUCUCAAUGGGCACCCUUUCCAGAGCAUGAGUGGGUACUCACUAAACAUAUAAUGGUAAUUGAGUGGGUACUCACUAAACAUAUAAUGGUAAUUCCAGCUGUGAGUUUUAUUGGAUUAUUGAAACGGAUCUAGGAAGUAGGUAGGUAGGUAUUAUCAUGUCCCCCAUUUACAACGUGAGAAACCCAAGCUCGGAAAGGUUAAGCGACUUGUCCAUAUUCACACACAAAGCUAGGGCUGGGGACCAGGUUUACAUACAAAGCUGGGGCUGGGGACGAGGGUCACACACAAAGCUAGGGCUGGGGACCAGGGCUGUUGCCUUCAAGGCCAGACCUUUCUGCUGUACCCCACCACCUGUUCAGUGAUGUAGUCAUGAGGGGAAUAAUUCCUUAUCAACUUGUGCAGAGGCUUAAAGACCUGGUGGACCUGAAACUGCCUCGGCUAGCUCCUGGCACACAGUAGGUUCAUAAAGGACUCACUUCAUCAGACUUGACUUCAGAGUGGUGGCGAGUGGAAACAAAGGAUUUCACACAUUAAAUCAUAUUCUGCAUUAAACGCAUUACAUCUGCAGUUCCCCAGAGCAUGUAUGUGAAGUAGCAAACAGGCCUGGGUUACCCAGAUGAUUGUUCUGGCAACAGCAACAUGGCCCAGAUGGGAGCAGAGUCCUAGCGUGCACCAGAUGAGCAAGGCAGGCUCAGAAUUCAGAGGUGGGAAUGGAGGCCAGAGAGCCAGUGGGCUCCAGGGUUGGGGCAGGAAGGAGUGUGUGGUGAGGGGGUUAGGCGUGCAGGUGACUGCAAGAGAAUUGUGCCUGGUGCAGGUGAGGGAGGCUGUAUUACCCAGGGCUUGGAGAGCUGCGUUUAGUAGGACAUUGUCUCUGGGGAUUGUUCAAACAAACACAGUGGUCCUGGAGCCUGCGUUUUGGUUUUUCUGGUUUUUGAAAUGUUCUAUAUAUUCAUUUUUUAAUUAGGAAGAGAAAAAUAGUUAUUAAAAAAGAGUACAUAAAGUUUCAUUCCUAAUGUUAUAUUUUAAACAACCUAAUACAGAAAUAAUCCACAUGUACAAAACAGAUGAACCAUAACAAAACUAAGCCAAAGCACCAUAAUAAAAAAAAUUUUUAAAAAUAGAUGUUGGCAUGGAUGUGGUGAAAAGGUAAGACUUCUGUAACCCUUCUACACUGCUGGUGGGAAUGAAAACUAGCACAACCACUAUGGAAAUCAGUGUGGAGAUUCCUUAAAGAAGGAAAAGUGGAACUACCAUUUGAUCCAGCAACCCCACUACUGGGUAUCUACUCAGAGUAAAAGAAGUCAUUACGCAAAAAAGAUCCUUGCUCAUGCAUGUUUAUAGCAGCACAAUUUGCAAAAAUGUGGAACUAACCCAAAUGUCCAUCAAUCAAUGAGUGGAUAAAGAAAUUGUGUUAUAUUUAUAUGAUGGAAUACUACUUGGCCAUAAAAGGGAAUGAAUUAAUGGCAUUCACAGAAACCUGGAUAGGACCGGAGACUAUUAUUCUAAGUGAAAUAACUCAGGGAUGGAAAACCAAACAUUGUAUGUUCUCAUUCAUAAGUGGGACCUAAGAUAUGAGGAUGCAAAGGCAUAAGAAUGACACAGUGGACUUUGGGGACUCAGGGGGAAAGGGUAGGAAGGCGGUGAGGGAUAAAAGACUACAAAUUGGAGCCGGAGGCGGUGGCUCACACCUGUAAUCCCA